AAUCUCCCCACCGUCCAAGUUAAAGCGUUUGAUAUGAGAUUACAGCAAGUGGAAACACAUGUUGGCGCUCGUGGAUGUGGGGCUGGCGGCAGUGUUGGUGGUGGUGUUGUCGGUGUUGGUGAUAAGAACCAAGAAAUGUUUGUUGCCUGCUGCGGUUGGCGCGCCGCGGCUCUACUGGCAUUGUCUUGUGCCUUGCAUUGACACUAACAUUUCCAUAUUUUGAAAUUGAUUCUCUUAGUAAUGAAGAGAACAAAGCAGGCCGACGACACUGUUGCCAUCGACACUUGAAACAAUUUGCCGUGACAGAGCGAAAGCCACGAAGAGAGUGAGAGGAAGUAAAGUAUCAUCACAAAGCUCUUAAAAUGUGGUUUUGUAGCCAAAAAAUGAUUUCUUUCUCAAUCCACAAAAAUAUUGAAUCGCAACAUCACCAACACUCUGAGUUGGUAACUAACUACACGGGAGGACGUGACAGAUUGUUUAUAAAAUAAAUUUUGUGGCGGUUGUGUGAUUUUGUUUAUAAAAAAGUGCAAUAUUUCGAAUCAAAUGCAAUACCUAUUCUACAAAAUUUAAGGGAACUUUUCCAACUACGGAUGACGGCUUAAAAUAUCUUAAAUCGGGAUGUGUACAAAAACUUGAAUUGAAACCAGAUCAAAUCCAAACAAAAUUUGCAGAAAAUUCCUGGUCCCCAAGGAUUUCAAAGCAGAUGACAGCGAAAUAAAAUUCCACAUGGAAAGUUGGCAAAUUGGAGCUUAAUGGAAGCCAAUCAUCCUCCACAAUCACGCCUCUUUAUUAUAUUAUAUUCUAAAAUACUUUAAAUAAUUACAAUUUGUUACAUAACAUUU